rnacentral:rRNA from 1 species
AGACCCGAAACCCGGUGAUCUAGCCAUGGGCAGGUUGAAGGUUGGGUAACACUAACUGGAGGACCGAACCGACUAAUGUUGAAAAAUUAGCGGAUGACCUGUGGCUGGGGGUGAAAGGCCAAUCAAACCGGGAGAUAGCUGGUUCUCCCCGAAAGCUAUUUAGGUAGCGCCUCGUGAAUUCAUCUCCGGGGGUAGAGCACUGUUUCGGCUAGGGGGCCAUCCCGGCUUACCAACCCGAUGCAAACUGCGAAUACCGGAGAAUGUUAUCACGGGAGACACACGGCGGGUGCUAACGUCCGUCGUGAAGAGGGAAACAACCCAGACCGCCAGCUAAGGUCCCAAAGUCAUGGUUAAGUGGGAAACGAUGUGGGAAGGCCCAGACAGCCAGGAUGUUGGCUUAGAAGCAGCCAUCAUUUAAAGAAAGCGUAAUAGCUCACUGGUCGAGUCGGCCUGCGCGGAAGAUGUAACGGGGCUAAACCAUGCACCGAAGCUGCGGCAGCGAACGUAUCACUUAAAGCGAUUCAGCGGGUUACGAUUGACGGAGCGAAGCGACGUCAAAGCGUAUACAAAGUCGAGUCGGUUUAAGGAUACGUUCGUUGGGUAGGGGAGCGUUCUGUAAGCCUGCGAAGGUGGCCUGUGAGGGUUGCUGGAGGUAUCAGAAGUGCGAAUGCUGACAUAAGUAACGAUAAAGCGGGUGAAAAGCCCGCUCGCCGGAAGACCAAGGGUUCCUGUCCAACGUUAAUCGGGGCAGGGUGAGUCGACCCCUAAGGCGAGGCCGAAAGGCGUAGUCGAUGGGAAACGGGUUAAUAUUCCCGUACUUGGUGUUACUGCGAAGGGGGGACGGAGAAGGCUAUGUUGGCCGGGCGACGGUUGUCCCGGUUUAAGCGUGUAGGCUGGUUUUCCAGGCAAAUCCGGAAAAUCAAGGCUGAGGCGUGACGACGAGGCACUACGGUGCUGAAGCAACAAAUGCCCUGCUUCCAGGAAAAGCCUCUAAGCAUCAGGUAACACGAAAUCGUACCCCAAACCGACACAGGUGGUCAGGUAGAGAAUACCAAGGCGCUUGAGAGAACUCGGGUGAAGGAACUAGGCAAAAUGGUGCCGUAACUUCGGGAGAAGGCACGCUGACACGUAGGUGAAGUGAUUUACUCAUGGAGCUGAAGUCAGUCGAAGAUACC